UACGGAGGGGGCUAGCGUUGUUCGGAAUUACUGGGCGUAAAGCGCACGUAGGCGGCUUUGUAAGUUAGAGGUGAAAGCCCGGGGCUCAACUCCGGAAUUGCCUUUAAGACUGCAUCGCUAGAAUUGUGGAGAGGUAAGUGGAAUUCCGAGUGUAGAGGUGAAAUUCGUAGAUAUCUGGAGGAACACCGGUGGCGAAGGCGGCAUCCUGGACCAACACUGACGCUGAGGAGCGAAAGCCAGGGGAGCAAACGGG
rnacentral:rRNA from 1 species